AUUCAAACAAUGCAUUGGUGAUUCCUUAAAGAUCUUCAGAACCUAAUUAGGGUCAGCCUUGGUUAGUACUUGGAUGAGACACCACCGAUGAAUACCAGGUGCUGUAGGCUGUACUGUGGUUCACCAGCAUCCAUGGGUUCUGCAUUCAUGCAUUCACCUGACUAUGGCUUGAAGAUAUUUUUUUAAAAAAAUCCCAAACCAUACCUUGAUUUUUGGCAUACAGCAAGCAUUUGCUGAUGUGCAGGCAUACUCCCGCCAUUUAGUAGAUCCUCAGACUCUCUUCAGCACAGGCCCAUCUGCUACCGGCCCUAACCCAGAUGAUAGAGAGCCUACCCACAGCAUCCUUUCCUCCUUCAGACAGUUCCAGGAACAAGCCGUGAGUCAGCUGUGCAGCUGAGCUUGUAUUUAGCUAACCCUGCUGCCCUGCCUGUUCCCGGUGCAGGAUGUGCAGCUCUGCGACAGCCGCCUUCCAGAUUCAUCCACUUUUAUUGAGAGGCCUCGAGCAGAGUUUCUUCAUAUUAUUAUUUCUUCUUCUCCACUUCCUGCUCAGCAGCUUCUUUGGCCCGUUUGUCCUGGAUGCCGAAGAGCCGCACAUUGGCUCUGACCAUGCGCAGGCUGGCAAAGGCCUUGAAAUUCUUCUCCUCGGUGCUGACCUGGGCCUUCUCUUUCUUGUGAACAUUCGUUAUGGGCAUAACUGGUCCGGAGAGCUGGAUGGCCAUCUUGAGCUCUUCUGCUGGACUGUCUCCAUUCUUAGGCGCAGAAGGCUUCCUGGGGAACAGGAUGAGCUUGGAGUGGUACUCCUUUAGCCGCUGGACGUUGGCCUGCAAGGCCUCUGUGAACCUGUUGCGACCUCGGGGGUCCACUGCAAACAUGUAACAUGUAAUUUUUAUCCUUGUAUUCCCUGUAAAAUACAUUUAAGAAGGGUGUAAAGAAAAGAAAGAGUUAAAAGCAGGAUCCAAGAUUCAAAUAAAUGUAGUGUUCCUCAGUCUUAGAGAAAGAAACUGAGGAGGGAGGGAGGAUGGGUAGAUGAGUAUGGGUAUAUUCACUCCUCGUUCAGAUAGAGAAUGAUAUACACUAAUUGAUAGUAUAGAAAAGAACAUUAUGAUUUUCAUUCCUCUCUUUUGUAUCUCGUGACCAUAUAAUUUCAGUGAUCCUUGCAUGAAACGCAACAGUAAUAUGUUGGCGGAAGCUACUUGCGUGAUUCUCAUAUGGAUGAAGCCGCUAUUGUUAUGGAAUGUGGUAAAGCUUUACCUUUGGCAGUGUAGUCAUCUGUCUCUGUCUCUAGAGAGGAUAAUGACACAGUUUUUGAUGUGUUUGUUAAGAUGGAAGCUGUCUUGCAUAAGAAUUACUCUCUGCGGAAGGAGAAUGUAUGGGUUCUCCUUGUGUCUCUUUUGCACUGAUUGUGAUCCCUGUUGGUGGUGGACAAACACUUAUUAAAGACACAUACAAACACAAAAGCCAAUAAUUUAUAUUUUCAUUUUGGCUCAGUCAAAUGGCUCUCUCCUCUUUAUUCCCACCCCACCUUAUCUUACUGUGGAGAAAUCCUGUGCCUUUUAAAUUGUAUUGCUUCUGUGAGUCAUGUAUUGUAAGAUUGUAACCUCAAGGUUUGGAAGCAAUCUGCCUUGGCAGGAGGUAUAGCUGUGAAAAGAGAUUAUUCAGCAGUUUAGUGGAAACAUUUAAAAGGCAGGAGUUCGCUCAAAAUGUCUCAAUAGCAUUGGUUCCAAAAGAGAGUCUAAAGAUGCCAAAAAGUUAAUGAAUGGUAGAUUGUGUUGAAUAUUAUGUGUCUGCUUUUAAACAAAUGGGGUAUAAUGAAUGUAUUAAAUUAUGAUAAUAUAAAAAAAUGAUUGUAAAAAAACAACAGAGUAAUUGGAGUGAUUAUUCAACUUUGUUUCUCAAGAUAUUUGAGACUCAGCUCUCAGAAUUACUUAACGUUGGCCCAGAUGCCUGGGGCUCCUGGGAAUUGAAGUCCAAAACACCCGGAGGACCAAAGUUUGGAAACUGCUCUAAGGCCAUUACACUAGGGCCCCUUCUAUACUGUCCUACAUCCCAGGAUCUGAUCCCAGAUUAUCCGCUUAUUCCAGAUUAUAUGGAAGUGGAGGCUCAUAUAAUCCAAUUCAAAGCAGAUAAUCUGGGAUGAGAUCCUGGGAUAUAGGGCAGUGUAGAUCCAGCCUAGGAAAGCUCAAUCUAUUCCCAGCUAUGGUGCAACUAAAAUCAGAGAGCACAGGGAAGGGGUGGUAGUGGCUAUUACUGACACAGACUCAGUUUAUUUAUUUAUUUAUUAAUCAUUAUUAUUGUUACCCCACUUUCUCUUUCCAAAAACGAGAUUCAAAGCAGUUUACAGUAAAACCAAUACAAUACAAUUUCAAACCUCAAAAACAUACAAACAUUAAAAUAGAAUUAAAAAUUAAUGGUAUUAAAAUGUAAACAGUUAAAAUCCUUAAAAAUUUAUUCUAAAUUAUUCAGAGUUAAAACCUCAGCACCCCCU
rnacentral:lncRNA from 11 species